UCGAAAAAGUCAAAAAGAGAUAAAGUUUAAGAUUACAAAAGAAACAGAACGACCCCCUUUUCUUUUUGGAAACAUAUGUGGCUUCACGAAAAAUAGCAAAACAAAUAAAAUUAGGCCUACUUAAAUAUGAUCGUCGUGUGAACUCUGGUGUCGCGGCUCCAGUCCACUGGUUCAUGCCUCCAAUCCAUGCUGUUUAGCAGAUUUGAGCCUUCAUUUGCUGUGAGCCCCCUGUUUCAUUUUCAGUAGCUUGAGCCGGCAAUUAUAACCACAAAUUAUGCAAGUUUUGCUUGUGCUGGCAUUGACCAGUCAUCAGCAGCAAUCUCAGUAUCAUCACUUUGGUCAGGCUUGGCAUCCAUCUUGAUUGAAGAAACUUUUGAUGUCGGUCGAGUUACGGAUCUCUUCUGCCCCUUGUGAGUAGGGGUUAUUCACGAUGACGCCCUUUUUCUAUUCCGGCUGGUGGAUUCAGCUUUUUCAACGGAUGGAUGGAAGCACUUGUAGAUGGAUGCCUGGCCGGAUCCCCCAGGCAUAAAGGUCGGACAAAUUUAAUAUUCCUGCACGGCCUCCUCGCUUCAGAUUCUGUCCGGUUGUUAUUACGAAUAGCUUUUGGCUAUCGUCUUUGCGUGUGUGUCUUUUUUUAUCGCUCCAUUAUUUUAUGUAACAAAAGAUGAGAAAACAGCUUUCCCAGGCAUCCGCAAUUGCGCUCGUCUAAUGUAGAACGAUAAUGAUGUGGGGCCGGGAAUAUUUAUACGACGCUUUUAUGAAUAGUGCUACUCCAGUUUAUGACUCCGGGGGGAACAUUUUAACGAUCCUUCAGUCACGGCUCGUCGCCGAUGGACAAUUCAUGUUUUUUAAGACCUGUGAUAUUUGUAGCAGCAACAACAACAGACAUGUGUGUGAUGCGAUUUCAUUGUCUUCCACCGUCGCUUUUGUCCAGCAUGUUGCCCUUGCAUCUCCCGGGAUUAUCUUUUUGGGUGGAGUGGAAACUUAAACAAUAAAAAGAUGAAAGGGAAAGUUUUUUUCUGAUUUUUAAUUCCAUCCGCCGAGGCCCAGCAGUCAACUGGGCGCAGCGCUGAUAGAUCUUUAUCAAUGACUUAUAUUAACUAUAGUAUAUAGCUGCUACUACUCCUCGGAUAUAAAAUUCUAAUGCGAGUUUCUCACGCCAAAUUUAAUGAACCGUAUAAAAGUUUAGCGAGUCGAAAGGUAGAGGCAGCACACAAGGCUACUACGUACAUAUAUCGUUUGUCUAUUAAAUUGCGCAUGCAUCGGCGAUGACAAUAAUGAUAGGACUCGCUUGUGUGUUGGCGAGAAGACACUAUAAAGCAGGCAGUUGUUUUCUCCAACCUUGCGUGAAUGUACCGUUUUUCUGUUGCCGUGGCUCAGUUAUAGAUUUCGUACUUUCCAUUUUCCCCGCGCGCGCAUAUUUGAGUUGGUCGCUUAGAUAACAGCAGCAGCUGCUGCCAUAUAGGAUAACCAAUGGGGGGCCUCGUUAUUCUACUAAAUGGUGAAACCAACUUAUUAUACGGAACGACGACGACUAGAAAUAGCCAAAUUCCAUCCGUCGUUGAUUGUCUUGCGGUUCUUUCGUAUACAUAAAACAUCAACUUUUUCGGGGCCGAAGCGCCCAUCGUUCGACUUAGUCGAAUGUUUAGUGAAAUCUUCCAUUGCAGCUAUAGGAUGAUCUCUUUUCUCUUUCUUUCUCGAUUUUACCUAUCGACAUGAUUGAAACCAAAUGAGGCAAGGAGCAUCGUUCGUGAUCGGGAUAAUCCGUCCUUGGGAUUCUGACGUGAGUUUGUUUCUAAACCUCAAAAUGAGAGGGUCCCGACGAUUUUGAAAGAAUGAAAUCAUUUAGUAUUCUAUUAUUACGUCGUCCGGUUGUACACGAGAAAGUGUUGCACAGAUGACGAUGUGUACGCGUGACAAUGCCCAGCAGGCUGUGAUGUGAUGAGAUCGUGAUUUUCGGAUGUCCCGUUUGAGCUGCUGGUGCGGGAGUAAUCGAGGUUUGUGGUGAUUCACUCGGCGUCGCUGGGAUGAACAUCUUCGACAGCAGUCGAGCAAUCACGCGUGACGGAGAAAAUCGUGUCGGCCGUGACCGCGAGCGCUUGAUGACAAUCGACAUCACACAUGACUUGUUCAUGUCUCAACUGCGUUUCAUUUCGGUCGACCUUACGUCAUUUGACGGCUGCACAAACGGCAAUAAAUUAACGACAAAUUUUUUAAGCUGUUGCGUGCUCACCUGCCGUUAUUACCAUCCCGGGGCUGAACUUGGAAUUGUCGAAAGUGAAAGUGCUUACAGAGCCGAUCAUCUAAAUGAUAUAGACUUCGUAUGGGACGUCAUUUAAGUGAAAACGAACCAACUAUAGAAAACCGAAAGAAACACACACAAAUGUGGGUCAAAGUUCGGUUGGAUCACAGAGCUAUUAAAAGCCCUGCUGGAUGUGUAUAAGAAGUAGGUGAGUUGUGUUUAGUUUUAUGCAUGCACCACACCUCCUCGCCCAUUACGUGUAGCCCAGCCAGCCGUGUAUAAUAUUUAAUGAUGUCAGCGUGUUGCUCAUCGACAUGGGAGUCAUCAUUGUUUUGUUAUUUUAUUUUUUGGACAACCAAAAAUCGGUUGCGCUAAAUUAUUUAUUGGCGAAAGGGGUUGGGUCUCUCUUGCACUUAAAUUAGCUCGUUAUCAUUUCUAACCGUGACCCUCUAUCGACGGUGAAAACAAUGUACACAACACAGCACAACUUUCGAUAAGCAUAAAUAAUUCUCCGGGGCUAUGGGAACAAGAUGGCCAAUUUGGCCUGCACCUUCUAUUAAAAACAAGAAAUAUUUUCUUUUAUUUUCUCCCGGACUGUAUAGUUUUCUUCCUAGAGUCAUUAUAACUACAUAAUAUGCAGGUUGCAAUAAAACUCUUUUAAGUAUAACGCCCGGAGGAAUUUCGGAGGGCUAGAAAUUCAUUUUUUUGCCUUGUCUCUUUAAUAAUCUACUGCUGUAUGCGGUUUGUGUUGCCUUUUUGGUUUGGUACCAUUAAGAAGAGCUUGUCCAAACGGUUAAAAUUUCUCCACGCUUACAUUAUUUACGACCGCACCUCGCGCUUGUAACGAUUGGAGAGCGAAACAAACAAAAAAUAAUAAGCGAAAAGAGCCAAGAGAGAGAAUGCGCGGCGGAAUAAGUAUCGGUGCUGUGCUCCUCCCUAUCCAUCGUGAGCCAGGAGCAAGGUCAUUCAUCCGUGCAUUGUGUUGUUGUUGUUGUUGCGAAGAAAGCCCGGCCAACGGACCUGCUCAACAUGUGGUCGGAUUUUUAAACACAACAACAACGGUGAAUUAUAUUAUUUUCCGUUAUUUUCAUACCUCCGCUUGACUGAGUCUCUAUCCAUAAAUGAGCUGGCGUGUCCAUGUUUUUCUUUCCUUUCAUUGACGCAAGAGUAUAUCCACUAGACAUUUUAUGCGAACGCUCUCGAUACAAAAAAGGAUGUCAAGAUGAAACGAAAGAAAUAGUGUAACGACAAGGUGUGGCAUCGCCCUGAUUUCUAUUCAUCGGCCAAUGCGCAAAAAAGGACCAAAUUCAUUUCGCUUGACGUCCUCAAGUGGGAAAUAAUGCAGUUAAACUGUCAGUCGUACAUAAUAGACCCGGAUUAGAUAUGGCUGUGUAUUAUUAUGGAAUAUCAAAUGCGAAUAAGGGUCCAUUAUUUUUUGAAGGCUGUGACUAUUUGACCGUUAUCGUUUUUCAAAGUCGAUGAAGCAAUCACGGAUCGUUAAGGGAGUUAGCGGGUCCGCUUUUUUGGGCGAAUUUGCCGGUCUGGUGAAUCCGUUAAUUGUUUUCUUGACCAAUAUCUAUGGAAAACGAUGGCAUUGAACGCAGUUCUAAUUAUAUUGAAGGGGGAUUCGUAUACUUGAAAUAACACCCUUAUAAUAAUAACCUUGACAAAUCGACUCGAUAUGGUUUAUUAAGGUUGCAUCGUCGCGGUACAGUUGCCAAGGAGAAUUCAUCUGCCGAAUCGAUCAAGGACAAAAUGUCCAAUUCCAUUAAAUCGAGUUUAUUAGUGAAAAUCAGUGAUAUUUGGGAACUGCGUAUUAAAAAUGAAAAACCUGCGGCGAGAAUCCAAUAAAUUCUACGUGAAUUUCUGCACAACAUUUAUUUAUUAUUUUUUUACUACAAGUAUACUUUCUAACAUUUUUCUUUUUAUUG